UUUUUUUUUUUUUAACUUUUCACUUCUUUUAUUUGCUAAAAUAGUCGCAUCCAUAUACGUGAAAAGAUUUGACCAUAAUGCAUUCAUUCAUUGUGGCUCUUGCCAUCUCGUGGCAUCCAGGAUCCUGGCUGAAAGGUUUUACCAGUGCUGCUGGGAGCCACUGAGGGUUUUUCCUUUCCGAAGUAUGGAGCAGAGGCACGGCCUUUAAUUUGAGUUUGAACUGGUGGAGGCAGGAGUUCCUCACUGGUCUCUUUACUAAGGAGUUUUUCUUUUUCAUAAAAAUCUUGGCUUUUUAUUUUGAUUUCUUCUCUGUGUUUUUCAUUCUUUAGUAUUUCCUCCAUAGUAGGUGGAGUCUUUCUUGUUCUUCUAAUCCAAGCUUCCCAUUCUGUUGGAAUAUCCCCUGUUUCAUAGUCUACUUCUUUUUUAUUUGCUGCUUCUACAAUUCUUUUCUCUUGAAUAGUUUGUCCUCUCCAGUUCUUGUUCUGCAGGAUGUAGUUCAGCCAGGGAGCUGUCAGUAGCUAUGUCUAAGGUGUCUCAGCCUUUGUUAAAAAGCCAGUACAGGACCACCCUGGGCAACACAGGGACACCAAGUCUCUCCAGGUGCUGCUCCGUCCAUCCAGACCCUGCACCCCAGGCUGUAAUCACUGGAGGAGUUCUUCCUGCCCACUGCAUGAAGAAAGUCAAAUAUAUUAUCAAAUUCUUUUACUUUAUUAACUUCUUUUAUAUGAUCAAGGUUACCGCAUUUCUAAGCUAUGACUUCUGGGCUUUGUCUAUAGGUCGAUUUCAACAUAGCUCUUAUAGUACUAUGAUUACAAAAACAGUACCAGGUUGGCCCCUCAGAGAAGCAACUGUAUUCUCAAGUCACUAAACCUAGGCUGCUUGAAGAAGACACAAGACUUGGGGUCAGAGGGAUUCUCUUACUGCACACGCCAUCAGCUUCUCAAACCCAUCAGUUGCUGCAUUUUAGUUUAAAUUGUACAUAUUUGGGCCAUGACUGCCGUGUUCAGUUUGUUCUUUUUCCUGGCUCCUUCUUGUUCUGCCUUUCAUUUCUCAUCCAAAGAAGAAACACACUCUUCUUUUCCAUGUCCUUAAAAUCACCCAGAUUUGUAAUCAGUGGGGAAGGUUCUGAACUGGCUUUCUGGUUCCUGUGCAGCCCGCAGCUGGGAUUUCCUUUCAGGGCACCACACUGCGCUAAUUCCACUGUUCGUUCUACCCCAUGCCUUCCUGUCUUUCAGAUUCCUUUCUAAUUUUGCAUGUAAUAUGUCCUCAAACAAUCUUUGUCUGAAAGGGUAUUUAAUUGAUAGUUUGCCUAGUUGUAGAAUUGAAGGUUCAAAAUCAUUUUCUCUCUGAUCCCAUUGACCUCUAGCAUCUAUGCUGUUGUAAAUUCUGAUGCAAAUGCAAAUUCUGAUGCUAAUGCGAUUCCCUUUUCUUGCAAGUGACCUCUUUUUUUAUUUUCUGGAAGCUAAGAUCUUUUUGGACAAUGUUUUUAUUUUUUUGGCGGGAAAGAUCAGACAUCUUUCACAACAGAGCACAGCCACCUUGAAGCUGGGGAAGGGGCUGUUUCUGAAGCUCAGGGCUUCCCCGUCCAGUUUCUCCACCCAGAGAUCAUCUCAGUGUGACAGCCUCUUCCCACCCCAAUACACCGUCCUCUGGGGAGGAAGAAAUAAAAGCAAGCGCAUUCCAGAUGUUCCCGGGAAAAUGGUAUUUGGGAAAAGGAUGUUUGUUUAGAAUUUACCAAAAAUAGAGAGCCCCAAAGGAGGAAAAGGCAAGCUCUUGACCCAUUUAAAAAGCCAUUUCCCAGGAAGGACUUUCUAACAAACAAUGUCACAAAAAGAAAAGCUAAUAGCUUUGACAAUAUAAUAAUAUAAAGCUUUGGUACAUUCAAAGCCUCCAAAAGCAAAAAUUAAGCAUCCUUGUUGGGACCCUGGAAAGGGCAAUUUAUUGUCUCCACUUGGCAUUAGAGGAAACUGAUGCUCAAAGAGAUGGACCUCCUGGACCAAGGACAAAGAGCACAAUCUGGACUCUACACAGACUUGUUUAGGUGCAAAGAUUCCUAUUCAAUAAAGGGAAGGGAAUCCAGGAAACUGCAUCUCCCUACCUCCCUGCCCAAUAUUUGUCCAUCAGGCUGCCCAGGUCCCCAUGCUGUGGCAGGAGCGCCGAUGAUGAGUGCUGCAGAGACCAUGGGAGGAAUGCCAGCCUCAGGCCAGGAUAGCAGGGCAGGCUGGUUACGUUGGGAGGCCUGGAGCCAGCCAGCCAGGCCCUGAUAGCUUACAGCUGCUCCAAAUGCAGGAGGCGGAAUCAGAGCCUGCCCCAGCCACUGGAGAGGGACGCCUCCAUCUGUGCUUGUGUUCUUGGGUGCUGCCAGCCCCUUCCUCCACGGGAGCUGCAUCACCGUAGUGACUCCCCGACAGCUCUGUCCCUGCCCGGCUCAGACUCUCCUAUGCAGCUAGGAGUAAGCCCAGGAGAGCAUGUCCCUCCUCCGCUCAAGAGCUUCCAAGGGCUUCCCAUCACAGGACCCUGCGCCCUCAGAGGGUCCUUCUUUGCCUCUUCCAGUUCCUGGCGUUCCCCCGCUGGUGGCAGCACCACGCCCAUCCCUGCCUCAGCCUUCACGUGGCCUUCUCUUCUCCACUGUGUGUCUCUUACAGAAACACUAAAAGCUUACAGUAAAAAUAACAAUUGUUUUACAAGAGACUCCAAACAUGUUCUUCUUUGGAGGUGGGAGGUAGGGAGGGACUGCCUGAUUAGCACUGUGCCCUUGAUAUGCCAGCAUCAGGUCCAGCUCCUGUGCCUCAGUUUCCCCAUCUGUUCCCCAGGGAGACAGGCCUGAUAAUCUCCAAGGUUCAUUCAGCCCUGCCAUCAAGUGACAAGAAGUUCCACUCUGUGAAGUCACAGGCAGCCUGUCUGCCUGCGUUCCUUGUGAGCCUUAGUUACAGCAGUGAGAGCUGAUUCCAGAUGCGAGCCCUCAGGGGCCUGAGAGUGGUCCCAGGGGGACCCCUGGGGGCUCUUUGGCCAAAUCAGUUAAGCUUCCUUCCUGGGGAGAGUAAUGCCAGGCCUCAGAAAGCUUCAACAGCCCAGCCUCUGUGCAGUCGGACCAAAUGCUGGCCUUGUAGCCUGUUAGUCCCUUUUCUUGUCAAAAUUUUUUUAUUAUUUUAAAAAUUGGUGCAGAGAAUUCUAGGGUGGAGUGGUCAUUCUUUCCCUCUGGAGUCAAACUUCAGUUAAUGAAACCCACAAGAGGGCACUGUUUCGGAGAGUUAAACUUUCUUUUUAACUAAUAUUUUAUUAAUUCAAGUACCAAUACUUAAAAAUUUGUUUUACAUUGACCAGUGUAUAAGAAAAUUAUUCUAAACAGUACUGCAUAUUCUCAUGCCUUCUUGCAAUUGAGUACAAUGAAAAUAGUUUAUCAUUAGCUUCAUCAUUGUGAAAGGUGCAGAUUCUACCAUAUCACAUAAUAUGCUGAUCUUCAGGGCUAUUGGCUAAGCAGAAG
rnacentral:lncRNA from 1 species